rnacentral:rRNA from 1 species
GAUGAACGCUGGCGGCGUGCUUAACACAUGCAAGUCGAACGAUGAAGCCCAGCUUGCUGGGUGGAUUAGUGGCGAACGGGUGAGUAACACGUGAGUAACCUGCCCUUAACUCUGGGAUAAGCCUGGGAAACUGGGUCUAAUACCGGAUAGGAGCGUCCACCGCAUGGUGGGUGUUGGAAAGAUUUAUCGGUUUUGGAUGGACUCGCGGCCUAUCAGCUUGUUGGUGAGGUAAUGGCUCACCGAGGCGACGACGGGUAGCCGGCCUGAGAGGGUGACCGGCCACACUGGGACUGAGACACGGCCCAGACUCCCACGGGAGGCAGCAGUGGGGAAUAUUGCACAAUGGGCGAAAGCCUGAUGCAGCGACGCCGCGUGAGGGAUGACGGCCUUCGGGUUGUAAACCUCUUUCAGUAGGGAAGAAGCGAAAGUGACGGUACCUGCAGAAGAAGCACCGGCUAACUACGUG